rnacentral:lncRNA from 1 species
UCGGUUUUAAACAAACUUAACAUGAAAGUUGCUUAGAUUUUCGUCUAGUUUCAUAAUAUGCAACUUUCAUGCAUGUUUGAAAUGUUUAAAAUGCUGUUUGUUUAAAUUUUCCCCUAUGCCAUGUUAAAAUGCUUUACUUCAUAACUAAUUAACCGUAGCUCUGAAUUAAAUAAAUUAUAUAUGUGAAUGGGGUAGAAAAAUGCCUAGUUUAACAUGAUGCACUCAUCUAGCAUGUUUAACAACUCUAAAAUUAUGUUUAGGGCAGAACAGUACCAAACCUAAUAUAUGUAUAUGAGGAGUUCCCGGACUUGUUGUUUUGUUGUUCCGGCCUCAUUUAAACUUGCCUAGAUUAGAUAGUUUCAUCAUGUUUCACCUCUUGCCAUGAUAACAACAUUUAAUCUUGUUGGGUACAUAAACGAGAGAGAACUAAAUAAGUCACGUGGUGUUUCGUCAAUAUGCAACUCGUUGCAUAGUGAGCUCCACUUAAUUUGUAGGAUUACUUGUGCACUUUGCCAUACCAUGCUUCAUUAAACCGGACAUGCAUCAUACUUGAUUGUGCAUCAUGCCAUGUUCAUGUCGUGGUUGUUUACUAUGUUGUGUGCUUCUUUCCGGUGUUGCUUCUUCGGGUUGGUUCCGAGAAUGUCGCGUUUGUGAGGACCCGUUCGACUACGUCCAUUUGCCUUCUUCAUGGACUCGUUCUUCUUCCUUGCGGGAUUUCAGGCAAGAUGACCAUACCCUCGAAAUCACUUCUAUCUUUGCUUGCUAUUUGCUCGCUCUUUUGCUAUGCCUAUGCCGCGAUACCUACCACUUGCUUAUCAUGCCUCCUAUAUUGUUGAACCAAGCCUCUAACCCACCUUGUCCUAGCAAACCGUUGUUUGGCUAUGUUACCGGUUUGCUCAGCCCCUUUUAUAGCGUUGUUAGUUGCAGGUGAAGAUUGGAGCUUGUUCCAUGUUUGGAACAUGGAUAUUUUGUUGGGAUAUCACAAUAUCUCUUAUUUAAUUAAUGCAUCUAUAUACUUGGUAAAGGGUGGAAGGCCCGGCCUUAUGCCUGGUGUUUUGUUCCACUCUUGCCGCCCUAGUUUCCAUCAAAUCGGUGUUAUGUUCCCGGAUUUUGCGUUCCUUACGCGGUUGGGUUAUAAUGGGAACCCCUUGACAGUUCGCCUUGAAUAAAACUCCUCCAGCAAUGCCCAACCUUGGUUUUACCAUUUGCACUAACAACCUAGCCUCUUUUUCCCUUGGGUUCUGCAGACUCAAGGGUCAUCUUUAUUUUAACCCCCCCCCCCCGGGCCAGUGCUCCUCUGAGUGUUGGUCUGAACCGAGCUUCCUGCGGGGCCACCUCGGGGAAACUUGAGGGUUGGUUUUACUCAUAGCUAGUCUCAUCUAAGUGUGCCCUGAGAACGAGAUAUGUGCAGCUCCUAUCAGGAUUUGUCGGCACAUUCGGGCGGUGUUGCUGGACUUGUUUUACCAUUGUCGAGGAUGUCUUGUAACCUGGAUACCGAGCCUGAUCGGAUUGUCUUGGGAGAAGGAAUAUCCUUCGUUGACCGUGAGAGCUUGUGAUGGGCUAAGUUGGGACACCCCUGCUGGGUUUUGAACUUUUGAAAGCCGUGCCCGCGGUUAUGGGCAGAUGUGAAUUUGUUAAUGUUUGGUUGUAGAAAACCUGAAGUUGACCUUAAUUAAAAUGCACCAACCGCGUGUGUAAUCGUGAUGGUCUCUUCUCGGCGGAGUCCGGGAAGUGAACACGGUGUUGGAGUUAUGCUUGACGUAGGUUGUUCUAGGAUCACUUCUUGAUCAUAGUUUCACGAUCGUGCUUUGCCUUCUCUUCUCGCUCUCAUUUGCGUAUGUUUAGCCACCAUAUAUGCUAGUCGCUUGCUGCAGCUCCACCUCAUACCUUUUACCCUACCUAUAAGCUUAAAUAGUCUUCAUUGCGAGGGCGCGAGAUUGCUGAGUCCCCGUGACUCACAGAUACUUCCAAACCAGUUUGCAGGUGCCGAUGUUACCGAGCAGGAGACGCAACCAAGCUAAAGGAGGAGCUCGAUGAAGAUCUUGUCCUUUGUGUUGUUUCGUUCUAGUGGAUCAGUAGUGGAGCCCAGUUGGGGUCGAUCGGGGAUCUAUGUAGCAUUUGGGGUAGUCUUCUUUUAUUUUGGUUCUGUAGUCGGACCUUGAUUGUAUCUGUUUGAUGUAAUGCUUUAUUCAUGUAUUUGUGUGUAGUGGCGAUUGUAAGCCAACUAUGUAUCUCUUUCCCUUAUGUAUUACAUGGGUUAUGUGAAGAUUACCUCACUUGCGACAUUGCUUUCAAUGCGGUUAUGC